GCGCCUGGCCUACCUUUUUUUUUUUUUGAGACGGAGUCUCCCUCUGUCGCCCAGGCUGGAGUGCAGUGGCACGAUCUUGGCAAUUCUCCUGCCUCAGCCUCCUGAGUAGCUGGGAUUACAGGCGUGCGCCACCAUGCUGACUAUCUUUUUUUUGUCUUUUUAGCAGAGAUGGGGUUUUCACCAUAUUGCCAGGCUGGUCUUGAACUCCCGACCUUGUGAUCUGCCCACCUCGGCCUCCCAAAGUGCUGGGAUUCCAUGCAUGAGCCACCGUGCCCAGCCUCAUUGUUUACUUUGAAACCAUUUUAUUCCCAUUAAUGAUGGGAAGAAAAUGAGAAUAGGAACAGAAUGUGGUAUUUUUGUUCCACUAUCCUUUCCUUUACUGUGCAUCUAACUAAUUCUUUCCAACUAAAAUAUAAAGAACUCAUCAUUAUUCUAAACUCCCAUUUAUCUAAAACAUAAUACUUUGACAAAGUUCACAGAUAUCACUAGUCCAGAAAUUCUUUGAGAUGUGUUAGGGAAAAUAAUAGGUACCACCUAGUAACUAACAAGUUUGAGUUUUCAAUUACUUAAACCUAUCCCUGACCUUGUGAUCCGCCCGCCUGGGCCUCCCAAAGUGAAACCCUGUCUCUACUAAAAAUACAAAAAAAAUUUAGCCGGGCAUGGUGGUGUGAUCCUGUAAUCCCAGCUACUCAGGAGGGCUGAGGCAGGAGAAUCUCUUGAACCCGGGAGGCGGAGUUUGCAGUGAGCCGAGAUCG
rnacentral:lncRNA from 1 species